GCGUGAGUGAUGAAGGCCUUAGGGUUGUAAAGCUCUUUCGCCGAUGAAGAUAAUGACGGUAGUCGGAGAAGAAGCCCCGGCUAACUUCGUGCCAGCAGCCGCGGUAAUACGAAGGGGGCUAGCGUUGUUCGGAAUUACUGGGCGUAAAGCGAGCGUAGGUCGCUUAGCAAGUCAGUGGUGAAAGCCCAAGGCUCAACCUUGGAACUGCCAUUGAAACUGCUAAGCUGGAAUCUCAGAGGGGAUAGCGGAAUUCCAAAUGUAGAGGUGAAAUUCGU
rnacentral:rRNA from 1 species